AGCUUCUUAGCGCAGUAGGUAGCGCGUUGGGCUCAUACCUCGAUAUGAAAUUUACCUUUCCACCGCAAGGUGGUGUAACCCAAAGGUCGUCGGAUCGAAACCGACAGAAGCUA